AGAUGAGAGAAACACCCCGCCCGCAGGGGACUGCGGGUGAAUCCGGGUCGGAGCUUCCUCGGCACCGUCCCGGGCGUGCUUUCGCGCACACCACUGGGGCAUCACGCUCCGGAACUCCUCACCGAUCGGA
rnacentral:ncRNA from 1 species